rnacentral:rRNA from 1 species
CUACGAAGGGGGCUAGCGUUGUUCGGAUUUACUGGGCGUAAAGCGCACGUAGGCGGAUUGAUUAGUUAGGGGUGAAAUCCCGAGGCUCAACCUCGGAACUGCCUCUAAAACUGUCAAUCUCGAGACCAGAAGAGGUGAGUGGAACUCCUAGUGUAGAGGUGGAAUUCGUAGAUAUUAGGAAGAACACCAGUGGCGAAGGCGGCUCACUGGUCCGGUACUGACGCUGAGGUGCGAAAGCGUGGGGAGCGAACAGGAUUAGAUACCCCAGUAGUCC